rnacentral:rRNA from 1 species
UAACAGGAUUAGAUACCCUGGUAGUCCACGCCGUAAACGAUGAUAACUAGCUGUCGGGGCUCUUAGAGCUUCGGUGGCGCAGCUAACGCAUUAAGUUAUCCGCCUGGGGAGUACGGCCGCAAGGUUAAAACUCAAAUGAAUUGACGGGGGCCUGCACAAGCGGUGGAGCAUGUGGUUUAAUUCGAAGCAACGCGCAGAACCUUACCAGCGUUUGACAUGUCCGGACGAUUUCGGGAGACCGAUCUCUUCCCUUCGGGGACUGGAACACAGGUGCUGCAUGGCUGUCGCCAGCUCGUGUCGUGAGAUGUUGGGUUAAGUCCCGCAACGAGCGCAACCCUCGUCCUUAGUUGCCAUCAUUUAGUUGGGCACUCUAAGGAAACCGCCGGUGAUAAGCCGGAGGAAGGUGGGGAUGACGUCAAGUCCUCAUGGCCCUUACGCGCUGGGCUACACACGUGCUACAAUGGCGGUGACAGUGGGCAGCAAUCUCGCAAGGGUGAGCUAAUCUCCAAAAGCCGUCUCAGUUCGGAUUGUUCUCUGCAACUCGAGAGCAUGAAGGCGGAAUCGCUAGUAAUCGCGGAUCAGCAUGCCGCGGUGAAUACGUUCCCAGGCCUUGUACACACCGCCCGUCACACCAUGGGAGUUGGAUUCACCCGAAGGCAGUGCGCUAACCGCAAGGAGGCAGCUGACCACGGUGGGUUCAGCGACUGGGGUGAAGUCGUAACAAGGUAACCA